rnacentral:rRNA from 1 species
GAUGAACGCUGGCGGCGUGCCUAAUACAUGCAAGUCGAGCGAACGGACGAGAAGCUUGCUUCUCUGAUGUUAGCGGCGGACGGGUGAGUAACACGUGGAUAACCUACCUAUAAGACUGGGAUAACUUCGGGAAACCGGAGCUAAUACCGGAUAAUAUUUUGAACCGCAUGGUUCAAAAGUGAAAGACGGUCUUGCUGUCACUUAUAGAUGGAUCCGCGCUGCAUUAGCUAGUUGGUAAGGUAACGGCUUACCAAGGCAACGAUGCAUAGUCGACCUGAGAGGGUGAUCGGCUACACUGGAACUGAGACACGGUCCAGACUCCUACGGGAGGCAGCAGUAGGGAAUCUUCCGCAAUGGGCGAAAGCCUGACGGAGCAACGCCGCGUGAGUGAUGAAGGUCUUCGGAUCGUAAAACUCUGUUAUUAGGGAAGAACAUAUGUGUAAGUAACUGUGCACAUCUUGACGGUACCUAAUCAGAAAGCCACGGCUAACUACGU